rnacentral:rRNA from 1 species
CUUGAAACACGGACCAAGGAGUUUAGCGUGUACGCAAGUCAUUGGGUAUUUAAAACCCAAAGGCGAAAUGAAAGUAAAGAGUAGUAAAUUGUUGCAGAAAUUUAUUUUUUGUAUAUAAUUUCUCUUUAGGGAAGAUGGAAAGUUAAUCAUAAAUUGAUUAUUGAUAAUUUUUUAUCUAUAAUUGUUUUUGAUAUAGCUUUCCCGCAUUCCCGGGGCGCUUGCAUCUCGCUUUGCGAGUCAGUGCGCACCUAGAGCGUACACGCUGAUACCCGAAAGAUGGUGAACUAUGCCUGGCCAGGACGAAGCCAGGGGAAACCCUGGUGGAGGUCCGCAGCGAUUCUGACGUGCAAAUCGAUCGUCGGAGCUGGGUAUAGGGGCGAAAGACCAAUCGAACCAUCUAGUAGCUGGUUCCCUCUGAAGUUUCCCUCAGGAUA